rnacentral:rRNA from 1 species
CCUACGGGUGGCAGCAGUGAGGAAUAUUGGUCAAUGGGCGAGAGUCUGAACCAGCCAAGUAGCGUGAAGGAUGACUGCCCUCUGGGUUGUAAACUUCUUUUGUAGAGGAAUAAAACGAGGCACGUGUGCCUUGUUGAGUGUACUUGAUGAAUAAGGAUCGGCUAACUCCGUGCCAGCAGCCGCGGUAAUACGGAGGAUCCGAGCGUUAUCCGAAUUUAUUGGGUUUAAAGGGAGCGUAGAUGGGUUGAUAAGUCAGUUGUGAAAGUUUGAUGCUCAACCGUAGAACUGCAAUUGAUACUGGAAGUCUAGAGUUCAGAUGAGGUAGGCGGAAUGCGUGGUGUAGCGGUGAAAUGCUUAGAUAUCACGAAGAACCCCGAUUGCGAAGGCAGCUUACUAAACUGUGACUGACACUGAUGCUCGAAAGUGUGGGGAUCAAACAGGAUUAGAUACCCGAGUAGUC